CUCCAUGCAAAGAAGACGCCGGCCCUGCUCCUCAAGUUAGACAUCUCAAAGGCCUUCGACAAUGUUUCUUGGGAAUAUCUGCUAGAGCUGCUUCAACAAUUAGGUUUUAGCUCGCGACGGCGAGACUGGAUUGCUCUCCUCCUCUCCACCUCCUCGUCGACCUUCCUUCUCAAUGGCACUCUGGGACCAAGGAUAAUGGCACUCUGGGACCAAGGAUUAGACACCGAAAAGGGCUGCGGCAGGGUGACCCUCUCUCGCCGCUCUUAUUUAUUCUGGCCAUCGACCCUCUAUAUAGAGUGCUGA
rnacentral:rRNA from 1 species